ensembl:rRNA 5S_rRNA 5S ribosomal RNA
GUCUCAGGCCGUAUCAGCCUGAAGGCGCCCAAUCUCGUCUGGUCUCGGAAGCUAAGCAGGGUCGGGCCUGGUUAGGAUCUUGGAUGGGAGACCACCUGGGAAUCCCUGGUGCUCGAGGCU